GAUGAACGCUGGCGGCGUGCCUAACACAUGCAAGUCGAGCGAUGAAACCGCCUCCGGGCGGACAUGAAGCGGCGAACGGGUGAGUAACACGUGACCGACCUGCCCCCCGCCCAGGGACAGCCCCCCGAAAGGGGGAUUAAUACCUGGUACUCCGGAAGCGGCGCAUGCCGCGCCCGGGAACGCUUUCGCGGCGGGGGAUGGGGGCGCGGCCCAUCAGGUAGACGGCGGGGCAGAGGCCCACCGUGCCGACGACGGGUAGCCGGGUUGAGAGACCGACCGGCCACAUUGGGACUGAGAUACGGCCCAGACUCCUACGGGAGGCAGCAGUGGGGAAUUUUGCGCAAUGGGGGCAACCCUGACGCAGCAACGCCGCGUGCGGGACGAAGGCGUCCGCGUCGUAAACCGCUUUCAGCGGGGAACACUUCAACGAGGGUACCCGCAGAAGAAGCCCCGGCUAAAUACGUGCCAGCCGCCGCUGUAA
rnacentral:rRNA from 1 species